GACCGGUCUAAUUCGAUUCUCCUCCAAGCAUGCGACGGAGUCGGUGGUCGGGAACUCCUCCCGACGAAGACGUUGGCGGGCGGCGGAGCGCUUCUAUAUCUACUAUGAAACCCUAGGUCUUCGAUGCUUCAAUGCUGUUCCGGCCGAAUCUCUCAUCUCUACCGCGAAUUCCUCGCCGCUGCUCCACAAGCUGUCACCUGCUCUCGUGUCUGGCGGCGGAGGUUGCCUCCGAGGAGGAGCAGGAGCUUGUGCCCGGUUCUUCUUCUACCUCAGAGACCAGGAAUUUCUUGGGAAAAAUUGUCCCUUUACUCAAACCAGAGGCCGAAAGGAUUGUUCCGUGUGGAUUCGUCCACGAGGGCAUCAGUCAACAUGGGGCUCUGAAGAAGGAAAUGGUACCGUGCCCUAAAUUUCAUGUGAGAUACUGGAUAUCGAGGUUGGAGGCUUGCCACGCCUUGGCCAGAGACGGGAGAUUGGACGACAUUAUAAGGGUUUUGCGACAGAUGGUGUAUGACCAAGGAGCUGGAUCGGCACCAUUAUUCUGCGAGCACUUGUUGACUCAUUUCAGACAUUGGGAUUCCAGCAGCAUUGUGUGGGAUAUGCUGGCAAAUAUAUAUGCUAGAUCAAAAAUGAUUGAUGAUGCUCGUUUCGUAUUACGUGAGAUGGCUAUCUUGGACAUGCAAGCUUCUGUAUCUACUUAUCACAGUUUCUUAUACAGUGCAAAAUAUACAGAUAUUGUUCUUGAUCUUUAUCGAGAAAUCCAAGCUAGUGGGGUUUAUUGUGGAGGGCACACAAUUGAUCUCCUUAUUGAUGGUCUCUGCAAACAAGGAAGAGUGCAAGAUGCAAUAUCAUUCUUCCAAGAGAUAAGCAAAGAGAAAUCAUUUUACCCUUGUUUGAUUACCUUCAAUUCUCUCAUAUCCGGAGCAUGUAAUUCUGGCUUUAUCUUGAUCGCAUGGUCUCUCCUCUCUCUUUCCUUUAAGUAUGGAUUUGUUCCAGAUAAAUAUAGUUACAAUGCGCUUAUGCAUGGAUUGUGUCUAGCAGGAAAGGUGGAAGAAGCUUUGGAACUCUUUGAGCGCAUGCAAAAUGAUGGCAUAGAGGCUGAUGUGGUUAUGUAUAAUACUCUUAUAAAUGGGUGUCGCUUAAUUGGAUCGAUGCGUGAGAUCUGGAUGCUCAUUAGAAUGAUGAUAAAACAGGGACUGCAGCCUGAUCUCUUUACUAAUACUAUUGUGAUAAGUGGUCUUUGUGAUGAAGGCAAUGUCAAUGAAGGAUUGAAGAGGAUGGAUAUGCUUGAUAGGGGAUGCAAGCUGAAUAUUGUGACUUACAGUGUUCUCUUCAUUGCCCUUUUCAAAAGAGCAUCGAUUGCGAAAGUUGAAGAGUUGCUCAAUGAGAUAAAAGAUAAUAACCUCGAUAUGGAUCUGGUAGCAUAUUCCAUCCUCAUAAGUGGGUAUUGCAAAUUAGGAGAAAUAAACAAGGCACUUCAGUUAUGCCAGAUUAUACGCUCAAACAAUGUGAUGCCUAUUUCAUUAUUUCACAGAACAAUUCUUUCCGGCAUGUGCAAGAAAGGUUUGAUGUCAGAAGCGAAGUGGUAUUUGGAGUACCUAGUUGCUAAUGGUCAGGCAUUGGACAUUACAUUAUAUAACAUUGUUAUCGAUGGUUUUGCAAAAGUUGGUGAUGUCAAAGAAGCUCUUGGAAUAUAUGAGCAACUAAUUAGGUCGGCCGUAACUCCUACAGUUGUGACUUAUAAUUCCUUGAUUUAUGGCUUUUGUAAGAUUGGAAAUCCAACCGAUGCAAAGGAAUUUUUGAAGCAAAUGGAUAUGCAUGGAUUGGCUCCUACAGCCACAACCUACAGUACACUUAUUGAUGGAUUUUGUGAAAUUGGGGAUAUCAAUUCCAUGAGGAUGAUGCUUGAGGAAAUGGAUGGGAGAGCAAUCAUACCCAAUAAAAUUACUUAUAGUGUAGUUAUUAAGGCGCUUUGUAAAAGUGGUCAAGUAAAAGAGGCUUUUGAUAAACUGAACAAUAUGGUUACAUUGGGUAUAGGUGCCGACUCGAUCACCUAUAAUACAGUUAUGAAAGGUUUUUGUGAACAGAGAAAUUCAAAAAUGGUUUUCCACAUAUAUGAUAUAAUGAUAAAUGGUGGACUGGUGCCUACUCCUGUUACUUAUACCUAUCUCAUUGAUUGUCUUUGUUUAAAUUGUCAAGUUGACAGAGCAGAGGAGGUUUUGUAUUUUCUUUUGCAUCAGGGUAUCAGAUUGAGAAAAUUUUGCUAUAUGACAGUCAUUCAAGCAUAUUGUGGGAUGGCAAUGCCGGAUAAAGCCUUUGUGCUCUUAGAUGAAAUGCUGAAAUCUGGAUAUGAGGUUACAAUCAAAGAUUUUAGUGCAAUAAUCAACCGACUAUGUAAACGGGACUUUGUACACGAUGCAAAAAUAUUCUUUAAUAAGAUGUUAGGUAUCGGCAUAUAUCCAGAUCAGGAACUGUCCCUUGUGAUGUAUAAUGCCUUCCUUAAAACCAAUGAUUACAAGUCAUUGUGUACUCUCCUUGCCUUCUUGGUUAAAACAGGAUUGUAGCUACGAUCACAGGAGCACACUGUUCAAGCUUCGCAAUCCCUUGAAUCCUCCUUUGUCAGACAGCAUGAGGCAUUAUUUAAGAUAUAUGUUAUCUGUGAUUAUUAUUACAAUUGGUGUUGCUUCAUACAAAAUCAACAUAAAAUUAACUUUGCCAUUAUUUCUUAGUCUGGUAGAAGCAACAAAGUUACCAGGAAGCUUACCCUCUUCUGGGUCUAGUAUGCCGAGAUGGAUCUCCUCCUAGUUGAUCAUGCUGUGGUUGAUGACCUCCCUCUCAAACGUUGUUGAGUUGAUUACAUUUUGCCUAUUUGAAGAAUUUACUUAGCUGCUUCUUACCCGAAGUUCCGAUACUUGAGCAGUGUUAACAUAAACAGCCCGAUGAUCAAGGACACAAAGAACAUUCAAGUAAAGAUUUUUGGGGUGACUUGCAAAUCUUAGUUGCAACUCCAUCAUCUGAUAUCCCAAAAUUGAUUUCCUCCUAGUUGAUGUGGUUGACCAUGUCCCUGCUCUAGCGACAUGGAGUCAGUCAGAUUUCGUCUAAUGUCCCAGCUCUAUUGGAAGGUUUAUCAAUCAUGCCGUUUAUGCUUAUCCCCUGCCUGAAUCUUGUGACGUAUGAACUGAUUCUGCACACUUCUGUCAAGCGACUUUGCUCUAUCUGUUUCCUUCAAUGUUAUAACGCUGCUUAUUGGCAUUGGUCGAGGGCACUGACUCGUCACAUCAGACAACUCUUCGUUGAGACCUUGUCAGACGAGCAAAUACAUUGUUCAAUGUUAUAAUGCCGCUUAUUGGCAUUGAUCGAGGGCACUGACUGGCACAUUAGACAACUCUUUAUCGAGACCUGGUUGGACGAGAUUACAACUUCUCAUCUCAAAAAUCAAUAGAAGAUAACAAGAUAAAGAGAGAUCUACUCCGGCAGUCGUCGCCAGUGGUGAUCACCACCACACAGGGUUUGCCAACUUGGGAUUUGCACUGAGGUAUUAAUCAGGAAAAUAUGGCCUCCGUGGAGGGUUCAGGGUUUCAGAUUGGGAUGGUUGGGUCUCUAGCUCUCUCAGUUGCCUCCUCGGUUUCCAUUGUCAUAUGCAACAAAGCUCUCAUGAGCAGCCUUGGCUUCCCUUACGCUACAACCCUGACAAGCUGGCAUCUAAUGGUGACCUUCUGCACCCUCCAUGUUGCACAGCGCUUCCACCUCUUCGAGCCCAAAUUGAUUGAUGCAAAGACAGUGGUUCUCUUCGGGAUUCUUAACGGCACCUCCAUUGGAUUCCUUAACCUCUGCCUUGGCUUCAACUCGGUUGGAUUCUACCAGAUGACUAAACUAGCCAUCAUCCCUUUCACAGUCCUGCUGGAGACUAUAUUCCUGAAGAAAAAAUUCAGCAAGAGCAUAAAGUUCUCUCUUCUUGUCCUGCUCUUUGGAGUUGGCAUUGCAUCGGUCACAGAUCUGAACCUCAACCUUGUCGGCUCAAUCCUCUCGUUUCUGGCUAUUGCUACUACAUGUGUUGGACAAAUUAUGACGAACACAAUUCAAAAGAGGUUGAAGGUUUCAUCCACACAGCUUCUGUAUCAAUCAUCACCAUUCCAAGCAGCGAUUCUAUUUGCCACUGGCCCAUCUGUGGACAGACUGCUCACCAAGCGAAGCGUGUUUGCCUACAACUAUUCCUUUAUGGUUCUGGUGUUCAUUGUCUUGUCUUGCUUGAUCGCGGUUUCUGUCAACUUCAGCACCUUCCUAGUAAUUGGAACGACAUCACCAGUGACAUAUCAAGUUCUUGGCCACGUCAAGACCUGCCUCAUUCUUUCCUUCGGCUACAUUAUACUUCACGACCCCUUCACAGCUAGAAACAUUAUGGGAAUCCUGACCGCCGUCUUUGGAAUGGGUCUGUAUUCAUAUUUCUCUGUGCAAGAGAGCAAGAAGAAAUCAGCAAACGAUUCUUUGCCCAUUUCGCAGGUGUUCCUCAGGCAUUCUUUGUGAUCGAUUUAAUAUACUAAUUCUUCUUGCAAAUAUAUGUCCUCAAAGUAUGUGUUUCACUUGGCAUUUUGACGAUAACAUGGUUGUUGCUAUUGCAGAUGGCACAGAAAGAGACAGUGCCGCUCCUGGCAAGCAAGAACCAAGAUAAAGACCACAAUGAGACAAAAAGAUCAAAUGGAAUCCCUGCAGCUUCCAAGGACUCUUUUGAGUGACACAAUGCAUAAUUAUAUCUCCAGAGAUAAAUAUAUGGAUAGGUUUCUUGUUCUGAUAUUAAAAGCAGUUGAAUUAGGUUUACUUGAUUUUUUUUAAAUGAGUAUAAAACCUCACUUGUUUCUGCAAUAAUAGUUGAUACGGAAGUUGUCUCA